GUGGGGAAUAUUGCACAAUGGAGGAAACUCUGAUGCAGCGACGCCGCGUGAGUGAAGAAGUAUUUCGGUAUGUAAAGCUCUAUCAGCAGGAAAGAAAAUGACGGUACCUGACUAAGAAGCCCCGGCUAACUACGUGCCAGCAGCCGCGGUAAUACGUAGGGGGCAAGCGUUAUCCGGAUUUACUGGGUGUAAAGGGAGCGUAGACGGUUUUGCAAGUCUGAAGUGAAAGCUCGGGGCUCAACCCCGGAACUGCUUUGGAAACUGUAGAACUGGAGUGCAGGAGAGGUAAGCGGAAUUCCUAGUGUAGCGGUGAAAUGCGUAGAUAUUAGGAGGAACACCAGAGGCGAAGGCGGCUUACUGGACUGUAACUGACGUUGAGGCUCGAAGGCGUGGGGAGCAAACAGG
rnacentral:rRNA from 1 species